AAGUCCAAACCUCUUCCCAGAAGACGAGUUUCUGCCAUUGGACCCAACUCAGGAACUGAUAUUUCCUCCAGAGUUAAUGAUAAUGGCUGAGAAACAACCACAAAUGACCAGGGUUUUUAGUGGAGAUAGAAUGACAUGGAUUUCUCCAGUGACCCUGAAGGAACUUCUAGAAGCUAAAGUCAAGUAUCCCCAGGCCCCUGUUGUCAUGGGGAACACCUCUGUGGGGCCUGACAUGAAAUUUAAAGGUGUCUUUCACCCAGUUAUAAUUUCUCCUGAUAGUAUUGAAGAACUGAGUGUUGUAAACUAUGCAGAUAA